rnacentral:rRNA from 1 species
UGAUACUAAGCCAUGCGAGUCAUUGUAGCAAUACAAGGCAGACGGCUCAGUAACGCGUAGUCAACCUACCCUAUGGACGGGAAUAACCUCGGGAAACUGAGUAUAAUGCCCGAUAGAACAUUAUGCCUGGAAUGGUUUAUGUUCCAAAUGAUUUAUCGCCGUAGGAUGGGACUGCGGCCUAUCAGUUUGUUGGUGAGGUAAUGGCCCACCAAGACUAUUACAGGUACGGGCUCUGAGAGGAGUGGCCCGGAGAUGGGUACUGAGACACGGACCCAGGCCCUAUGGGGCGCAGCAGGCGAGAAAACUUUGCAAUGUGCGAAAGCACGACAAGGUUAAUCCGAGUGGUUUCUGCUAAAGGAACCUUUUGUUAGUCGUAGAACCACUGAUGAAUAAGGGGUGGGCAAGUUCUGGUGUCAGCCGCCGCGGUAAAACCAGCACCUCAAGUGGUCAGGAUGAUUAUUGGGCCUAAAGCAUCCGUAGCCGGCUCUGUAAGUUUUCGGUUAAAUCUGUACGCUUAACGUACAGGCUGCCGGGAAUACUGCAGAGCUAGGGAGUGGGAGAGGUAGACGGUACUCGGUAGGAAGGGGUAAAAUCCUUUGAUCUAUUGAUGACCACCUGUGGCGAAGGCGGUCUACCAGAACACGUCCGACGGUGAGGGAUGAAAGCUGGGGGAGCAAACCGGAUUGGAUACCCGGGUAGUCCCAGCUGUAAACUAUGCAAACUCAAUGAUGCAUUGGCUUGUGGCCAAUGCAGUGUUGCAGGGAAGCCGUUAAGUUUGCCGCCUGGGAAGUACGUACGCAAGUAUGAAACUAAAAGGAAUUGGCGGGGGAGCACCACAAGGGGUGAAGCCUGCGGUUCAAUUGGAGUCAACGCCGGA